CGUACACUCCUACGGGAGGCAGCAGUGGGGAAUAUUGCACAAUGGGCGCAAGCCUGAUGCAGCCAUGCCGCGUGUAUGAAGAAGGCCUUCGGGUUGUAAAGUACUUUCAGCGGGGAGGAAGGCAAUACGGUUAAUAACCGUGUUGAUUGACGUUACCCGCAGAAGAAGCACCGGCUAACUCCGUGCCAGCAGCCGCGGUAAUACGGAGGGUGCAAGCGUUAAUCGGAAUUACUGGGCGUAAAGCGCACGCAGGCGGUCUGUCAAGUCGGAUGUGAAAUCCCCGGGCUCAACCUGGGAACUGCAUUCGAAACUGGCAGGCUUGAGUCUUGUAGAGGGGGGUAGAAUUCCAGGUGUAGCGGUGAAAUGCGUAGAGAUCUGGAGGAAUACCGGUGGCGAAGGCGGCCCCCUGGACAAAGACUGACGCUCAGGUGCGAAAGCGUGGGGAGCAAACAGGAUUAGAUACCCGGGUAGUCCCAUGAU
rnacentral:rRNA from 1 species